UAUACUUGCUGACGUCUGGCAUUCAUCGUUUACGGUGUGGACUACCAGGGUAUCUAAUCCUGUUUGCUCCCCACACUUUCGCACCUCAGCGUCAGUAUCGAGCCAGUAAGCCGCCUUCGCCACUGGUGUUCCUCCAAAUAUCUACGAAUUUCACCUCUACACUUGGAAUUCCACUUACCUCUCUCGAACUCAAGACUAGCAGUAUUAAAGGCAGUUCCAGGGUUGAGCCCUGGGAUUUCACCUCUAACUUACUAAUCCGCCUACGUGCGCUUUACGCCCAGUAAUUCCGAACAACGCUAACCCCCUCCGUAUUACCGCGGCUGCUGGCACGGAGUUAGCCGGGGUUUCUUUACCAGAUACUGUCAUUAUCAUCUCUGGCGAAAGUGCUUUACGACCCUAAGGCCUUCAUCACACACGCGGCAUGGCUAGAUCAGGGUUUCCCCCAUUGUCUAAGAUUCCCUACUGCUGCCUCCCGUAGGAGUCUGGGCCGUGUCUCAGUCCCAGUGUGGCUGAUCAUCCUCUCAAACCAGCUAUAGAUCGUAGGCUUGGUAGGCCAUUACCCCACCAACUACCUAAUCUAACGCGGGCUAAUCCUUCUCCGAUAAAUCUUUCCCCCGAAGGGCGUAUAAGGUAUUACUCUCCGUUUCCAGAGGCUAUUCCUUAGAGAAGGGCAUAUUCCCACGCGUUACUCACCCGUCCGCCGCUCAUCCCGAGGGAUGCGCUCGACUUGCAUGUAUUAGGCCUGCCGCCAGCGUUCGUUCUGAGCCAGGAUCAAACUCU
rnacentral:rRNA from 1 species